rnacentral:rRNA from 1 species
UACGUAGGGGGCUAGCGUUGUCCGGAUUUAUUGGGCGUAAAGCGCGUGUAGGUGGCCAAGUAGGUCCGCUGUGAAAACUUGAGGCUCAACCUCAAGCUGUCGGUGGAAACCCCUUGGCUAGAGUCCGGAAGAGGAGAGUGGAAUUCCUGGUGUAGCGGUGAAAUGCGUAGAGAUGUGGAGGAACACCGAUGGCGAAGGCAGCCCCCUGGGUCAAGAUUGACGCUCAUGCACGAAAGCGUGGGGAGCAAACGAAGGAUAGAAACCCGUGGUAAGAUCCGAU